rnacentral:rRNA from 1 species
AUUGAACGCUGGCGGCAGGCCUAACACAUGCAAGUCGAGCGGAUGAGAGGAGCUUGCUUCUUGAUUCAGCGGCGGACGGGUGAGUAAUGCCUAGGAAUCUGCCUGGUAGUGGGGGACAACGUUUCGAAAGGAACGCUAAUACCGCAUACGUCCUACGGGAGAAAGCAGGGGACCUUCGGGCCUUGCGCUAUCAGAUGAGCCUAGGUCGGAUUAGCUAGUUGGUGAGGUAAUGGCUCACCAAGGCGACGAUCCGUAACUGGUCUGAGAGGAUGAUCAGUCACACUGGAACUGCGACACGGUCCAGACUCCUACGGGAGGCAGCAGUGGGGAAUAUUGGACAAUGGGCGAAAGCCUGAUCCAGCCAUGCCGCGUGUGUGAAGAAGGUCUUCGGAUUGUAAAGCACUUUAAGUUGGGAGGAAGGGUUGUACGUUAAUACCGUGCAAUUUUGACGUUACCGACAGAAUAAGCACCGGCUAACUCUGUGCCAGCCGCCGCGGUAAAAC